GCCCGUGAUGAAAAUUCUAAGGCGCUUGAGAGAACUCAGGAGAAGGAACUCGGCAAAUUGACACCGUAACUUCGGAAGAAGGUGUGCCUUUAGUAGGUGAACCUGUACAAGGGGAGCCAAAUGAGGCCGCAGAGAAUCGGUGGCUGCGACUGUUUAAUAAAAACACAGCACUCUGCUAACACGAAAGUGGACGUAUAGGGUGUGACGCCUGCCCGGUGCCGGAAGGUUAAGUGAUGGGGUGCAAGCUCUUGAUCGAAGCCCCGGUAAACGGCGGCCGUAACAAUAACGGUCCUAAGGUAGCGAAAUUCCUUGUCGGGUAAGUUCCGACCUGCACGAAUGGCGUAACGAUGGCCACACUGUCUCCUCCUGAGACUCAGCGAAGUUGAAAUGUUUGUGAUGAUGCAAUCUCCCCGCGGCAAGACGGAAAGACCCCAUGAACCUUUACUGUAGCUUUGCAUUGGACUGUGAACCGAUCUGUGUAGGAUAGCUGGGAGGCUUUGAAGCGGUGCCGCUAGGUGUCGUGGAGCCAACCUUGAAAUACCAGCCUGGUUUGUUUGCGGUUCUAACCUUGGUCCGUUAUCCGGAUUGGGGACAGUGCAUGGUAGGCAGUUUGACUGGGGCGGUCUCCUCCAAAAAGGUAACGGAGGAGCUCGAAGGUCCGCUAGGUACGGUCGGACAUCGUACUGAUAGUGCAAUGGCAUAAGCGGGCUUAACUGCGAGACUGACAAGUCGAGCAGGUGCGAAAGCAGGACAUAGUGAUCCGGUGGUUCUGAAUGGAAGGGCCAUCGCUCAACGGACAAAAGGUACUUUGGGGAUAACAGGCUGAUUCCUCCCAAGAGUUCAUAUCGACGGGGGAGUUUGGCACCUCGAUGUCGGCUCAUCACAUCCUGGGGCUGUAGCCGGUCCCAAGGGUAUGGCUGUUCGCCAUUUAAAGUGGUACGUGAGCUGGGUUUAAAACGUCGUGAGACAGUUUGGUCCCUAUCUGCCGUGGGCGCUGGAAAUUUGAGGGGGCCUGCUCCUAGUACGAGAGGACCGGAGUGGACGCACCCCUGGUGUACCUGUUGUCACGCCAGUGGCAUCGCAGGGUAGCUAUGUGCGGAAGAGAUAAACGCUGAAAGCAUCUAAGCGUGAAACUCGCCUCAAGAUGAGAUUUCCCGGGAACUUGAUUCCCCUAAAGGGUCGUUCUAGACCAGGACGUUGAUAGGUCAGGUGUGGAAGCGUAGUAAUACGUUAAGCUAACUGAUACUAAUUGCCCGUGCGGCUUGAUCCU
rnacentral:rRNA from 1 species